AUCAUUAUCGAGUUUGAAAAGGGUUGUAGCUGGUCUUUCACGAGGCAUGUGCACACCCUACUCAUCCACUCAACACCUGUGCACACUAUGUAGGUUUAGACGAGCAUCGGGGCCCUCGUGCCUCGGUAGGAGUCUGCCUAUGUCUUUAUAAACUCUGUUUAGUAUACGAAUGUACUUGCGAUAAAACGCAUCUUAUACAACUUUCAGCAACGGAUCUCUUGGCUCUCGCAUCGAUGAAGAACGCAGCGAAAUGCGAUAAGUAAUGUGAAUUGCAGAAUUCAGUGAAUCAUCGAAUCUUUGAACGCACCUUGCGCCCCUUGGUAUUCCGAGGGGCACACCCGUUUGAGUGUCGUGAAAUUCUCAACUCAACCACCUUUGCUGGUGUUUGGGCUUGGACUUGGGGGUUUGCUGGCUUCGGUCGGCUCCCCUUGAAUGCAUUAGCUCGAACCCUUGCGGAUCAGCUAUCGGUGUGAUAAUUGUCUACGCCGUGGUUGUGAUGCCACCUUCGGGUGUUGGAUCGGCUUCUAACUGUCCCCUAGGGACAAUUUCUUUGAAAUCUGACCUCAAAUCGGGUGGGACUACCCGC
rnacentral:rRNA from 1 species